rnacentral:lncRNA from 1 species
AACUUUUGCUGCAGUUUUCUUCCUACUAAAAUGACCACCACAAGCAUGGUCAUGACAAAAGAAAAGGACAUUCCUUUGAUCGUGUUCAGGGAUGCAUCGUCUGAUGAUUUGAUCAGGACAAUAUUUGAACAAGUAUGGUUCAUCCCAAAAAUACCAUUUUACACGAGCUAGGAAGCAAAAUUUCUCUUGUUUGGUCCAUGAACUGGGCAUUCGUUCAGUAACUAGAUAG